UGGGGAAUUUUCCGCAAUGGGCGAAAGCCUGACGGAGCAACGCCGCGUGCGGGAUGACGGCCUGUGGGUUGUAAACCGCUUUUCUCAGGGAAGAAGAUCUGACGGUACCUGAGGAAUCAGCAUCGGCUAACUCCGUGCCAGCAGCCGCGGUAAUACGGAGGAUGCAAGCGUUAUCCGGAAUUAUUGGGCGUAAAGCGUCCGCAGGCGGCCUAUCAAGUCUGCUGUUAAAUGUCGGGGCUCAACUCCGAUUUGGCAGUGGAAACUGAUAGGCUAGAGUACGGUAGGGGUAGAGGGAAUUCCCAGUGUAGCGGUGAAAUGCGUAGAUAUUGGGAAGAACACCAGUGGCGAAGGCGCUCUACUGGGCCGUAACUGACGCUGAGGGACGAAAGCUAGGGGAGCGAAAGGGAUUAGAUACCCCCGUAGUCC
rnacentral:rRNA from 1 species